rnacentral:rRNA from 1 species
CCUACGGGAGGCAGCAGUGGGGAAUAUUGCACAAUGGGGGAAACCCUGAUGCAGCGACGCCGCGUGAGUGAAGAAGUAAUUCGGUAUGUAAAGCUCUAUCAGCAGGGAAGAAAAUGACGGUACCUGAGUAAGAAGCCGCGGCUAACUACGUGCCAGCAGCCGCGGUAAUACGUAGGUGGCAAGCGUUAUCCGGAUUUACUUGGUGUAAAGGGAGCGUAGACGGCAGUGCAAGUCUGGAGUGAAAGGCGGGGGCUCAACCCCCGGACUGCUCUGGAAACUGUACGGCUGGAGUGCAGGAGAGGUAAGUGGAAUUCCCAGUGUAGCGGUGAAAUGCGUAGAUAUUAGGAGGAACACCAGGGGCGAAGGCGGCUUACUGGACUGUAACUGACGUUGAGGCUCGAAAGCGUGGGGAGCAAACAGGAUUAGAUACCCCAGUAGUC